GAGCUCCAAAGUCCCUUGGAAUUUCCUAAGUGAAGAGAGCAAUAAACAUCAAUAAAUAUCAAUGACAGCAAGAAACAUCAACCAACUUUGGAAAGUACCUAAGGGUGAGGGCUGGUUGCCAGAAGAACCAACCCUGUGAUCCAAGGGUUGAAAUUUCCCUACUACCUACCUGACCUCUAGACAAGAUGGUCACCUGUAUGCAGGGAGGACUACAUUGCCUUAUCAGGAGAACCCAGCAGGACGUGAUGUGAUACACAUGCACUCCGAUAACUUCCUAGUGGGAAUGUAACUGGACACGACCACUUUAGAGAAUAAUUCGGGAAAGUGGACUACUGAAGCUGAACAUGCAUGACCUUGACCAGAGUUCCAUUCCUAGGGAGGAAACUGAACAUACACGUGAGCAGCACCGUCAUUAGAUGCACCACAGUUGAGCCCCGCAGAGAAUGUAUGGAGAAAAGGCUUCUGAUUGAGUCCAGGCAGACAGGAUGUUCUUGAAGCACGGCCGGCCAGCGAUGACCCCAGACCUGUAUCUGAUGAAGCCAUAGAUGGGGGAGUGCUGGAGGUUGUUUUUCAAACUUAGGUAAUAUUCACACCUCCCCAUUUUGUUUUUGGGGUUUUAUUUAUUUUUUAUUUUUUUCAGGCUAGGGCCCCAAGCCAAUUGUACGAUCUUUCCAUGCCAGGGUGAGUCUAUGUGUCUUGCUUCCCUUUGCCAUUUUGUAUAGAGUCUUGAGGAGAAGAGCAUGUAUGGUCUAAAAGAAAAUGAGUAGAAUCUGCGGAGAGCUUGAGUGAGGCCCAUGGGCUCCACAGUAGGAGGCCAGAAUGGGGCAGGUUCUCUUGUGCCAUGGGCACGAUUUGUGGUCCAGCCAUGUCAAAGCCAUUUCAUGAGGGAAAAGCAAGCUGAGUAGAAGGCAGAAGUCUUUUCUCUUGGCCAUUGCCUCGUGCACAAAACUGGCCCCACUGGCAAAGCAAGACGAAGCUACCCCAGGUGCAAGGCUUAGAUGGGGGGACCAGAGGGCCAUUUGGAUGAUGUUUCAUGACCCCAAGGCACAGCAAAUGAAAUUAUACUAAGAGUCUCAAAAAAGCAAAGAAAGAAAUAAAAGGAGAUACCCAUCAUACAAUUCCAAUUUUAGGUCUCAUUCCCAGACCUCUUUUCUGUUAUCACGAUAAAUUAAUAUUUUGGUAAAUUCUGUAAAGUUUUUGUGAAUAGUGUAAUGAUUCCAUCAUUGUCACAGUAAAACAUUUAUUUAUUAAAUGGCAUGUGUAAAAUAGACUUCAGUUUUUACAACCUUGUUUAAUAUUUACUCACUUUUAAAUACACCUCAAAAAUACAUAGUUUAUGUUUUAAAUAUACUUAAGUUUUAUUGAAAUACGUUUAUAAUUCAAAAACAUGUUUUGGCAAAAUGGUGCCCUGGUUUCUUAGCUGUAAGGAUCACCAAAUGUGCAGAAGCCGAGAUGAAAGAAAGGAGCUACACCAUAAACCCCAUAAGUUGGCCUGGGUCUCGCUGACAGAGAACACAGAGCUGAAGGGAAAUCGUCCAUCACAAGUAAGAAAACACCAAGGACUCAAACAGUGACAUUGGGAAAAAGAGAGAGAGGAAAGAAAAAACAAAACAAAACAAAACAAAAAACAA